CAGUAGCCACGGGAAUACGAGGGGGGCAAGCGUUGUUCGGAAUUAUUGGGCGUAAAGGGCGCGUAGGCGGUUUGGCAAGUUUGGUGUGAAAUCUUCGGGCUCAACUCGAAGUCUGCAUCGAAAACUGCCGGGCUUGAGUAUGGGAGAGGUGAGUGGAAUUUCCGGUGUAGCGGUGAAAUGCGUAGAUAUCGGAAGGAACACCUGUGGCGAAAGCGGCUCACUGGACCAUAACUGACGCUGAGGCGCGAAAGCUAGGGGAGCAAACAGGAUUAGAGACCCCAGUAGUCCCUGUCUCUUAUAC
rnacentral:rRNA from 1 species